rnacentral:rRNA from 1 species
GUCUACGGCCAUGCUACCCUGAACACACCCGAUCCCUCUGAUCUCUGAAGCUAAGCAGGGUGGGGCCUGGUUAGUACUUAGAUGGGAGACCACCUAGGAAGACUGGGUGCUGUAGGCG